GACGAACGCUGGCGGCGUGCCUAAUACAUGCAAGUCGAGCGGACUGAUUAAGAGCUUGCUCUUAUGACGUUAGCGGCGGACGGGUGAGUAACACGUGGGCAACCUGCCCUGUAGAUCGGGAUAACACCGAGAAAUCGGUGCUAAUACCGGGUAAUAUCUGAGAUCACAUGAUCUUAGGUUAAAAGAUGGCUCCGGCUAUCACUACAGGAUGGGCCCGCGGCGCAUUAGCUAGUUGGUAAGGUAAUGGCUUACCAAGGCGACGAUGCGUAGCCGACCUGAGAGGGUGAUCGGCCACACUGGGACUGAGACACGGCCCAGACUCCUACGGGAGGCAGCAGUAGGGAAUCUUCCGCAAUGGACGAAAGUCUGACGGAGCAACGCCGCGUGAGUGAUGAAGGGUUUCGGCUCGUAAAGCUCUGUUGUUAGGGAAGAAACAGUACCGAACGAACUAGGUCGGUACCUUGACGGUACCUAACCAGAAAGCCUCGGCUAACUACGUG
rnacentral:rRNA from 1 species